rnacentral:rRNA from 1 species
UACGAAGGGGGCUAACGUUGGCUCGGAAUCACUGGGCGUAAAGCGCACGUAGGCGGCUUCUUAAGUCAGGGGUGAAAUCCUGGAGCUCAACUCCAGAACUGCCUUUGAUACUGAGAGCUUGAGUUCGGGAGAGGUGAGUGGAACUGCGAGUGUAGAGGUGAAAUUCGUAGAUAUUCGCAAGAACACCAGUGGCGAAGGCGGCUCACUGGCCCGAUACUGACGCUGAGGUGCGAAAGCGUGGGGAGCAAACAGGG